rnacentral:rRNA from 1 species
UACGGGGGGGGCAAGCGUUGUUCGGAAUUACUGGGCGUAAAGGGCUCGUAGGCGGCCAACUAAGUCGGAUGUGAAAUCCCCAGGCUUAACCUGGGAACUGCAUCCGAUACUGGAUGGCUUGAAUCCGGGAGAGGGAUGCGGAAUUCCAGGUGUAGCGGUGAAAUGCGUAGAUAUUACCAAGAACACCAAUGGCGAAGGCAGCUUGCUGGGCUACUCCUGACACUGAGGUACGAAAGCGUGGGGAGCGAACAGG